UGUGUCGGAACACCCCUGCAGUGGGUUCGGCAGCGAAGUGACAGCGGAGUGACAGAUAUCGAUCUGUCACACCGGGUGAGUAGAGGAGAAAAACAACCGAGAACAAAGAAAACAAGUGUAAAAAGUAAAUUGAUCGCUCUCGUUAUUCUUAAAAUUAUCAGUAAUCUAGUGAACUUAAUUAUAGUUGAACUUAAAGCUAAUGUGAUUAGUCACUACUAGGUUUAUCUUAUAUCUACACACUAAAUUAGGUAACCUAAACCUAUCACUGAACACCAUAUACUCUACUCCGUGAAACCCGUAGCCACUGGUAUCGGGCUUACAACUAAACACUUCGACGGCAUCACGCUAGACAACACCCGAAAUUAUACUAAAAGGAAACUAAACGUAAGUCACAAAAUUAUAAUCUACACUUACAACUAGGACUAGAAUUAGGUUGAGAACAUAAUGAUAAACAAUGUCAUGUACACUCUACCUACAUUCCAACCUUAAGCAAUAUCAAGGCCACAUAAAUCUAUAGAUAGACUAACUAAUUCCAAUUGAAAUUGUCGUUAUCUAACACAGGAAAUUAUAUUCUCACUAUCACCGGAUUAUACGUCUUUUAUUCGCUUCCGGUCGAGAAUCAUA